UUGACCUCGAAUCAGGUAGGACUACCCGCUGAACUUAAGCAUAUC
rnacentral:rRNA from 2 species